GCCGUAGGCUUCUUCACUGUGAAGCAAACACAAGUUUUUGACAGAAGAGAAGAACACAUACACUCAAGAUCUCGAUGCAAUUCUCACACGAAUAAGGUGGCUAAUUAAGUAGUGGGAGAGUCACCGGAAGAUUGUCGGAGAUUUGUCCAGCAGGUGACAUCUCCAUCUCAGCUUCUGCUCCUACAUGAUGAUUAUUCUCCAUCUGUACGAUAAUCAUAGAAAAAAAACACAAACAAACACAGAACCGAGAAACAACAAGAGAUCCGCCGGAAAAAAACCAAACGGUAAGGAAAAGGCGUACUUAUCGCCGGAGGAGAAGCUGUAGAGCUUGCCGGAGGCGGAGACGACGAGAAGAGCGACGGAUGCGUCACAGAGAACAGAAAGCUGACGAGCUUUCUCGAUGAGACCGUUGCGACGUUUGGAGAAGGUGACUUGUCGGCUACUUUUGUUCUCAAUUCGCUUGAUUUCUAGUUUUUUUCUUCCCAUGGCUUCUCUCCGAGAGGGCUUUGUGCCCUAAUUUGAUCCUCAGGUUUGGGUUCAAGUCGCCGGAGAUAC
rnacentral:antisense_RNA from 1 species